GCCUUCUUAGCUCAGUUGGUAGAGCGUCUGCCUCGUAAGCAGAAGGUCGGUGGUUCGAUUCUCGCCAGCAGGCA